AAUCCGGCAAUGGCAUUAGUAGACUGGUGCUAGAUAGCCUUAUUUACAUGUGGGACAUCACUGAAUACAUGGAGAAGUAAACCGAAGUCACAGUUAUGAAAAGGUACAAAUGAGACCAACACAUUCCAACAAAGCUACAAACCUGGUGUGGAAUCAAUGCAUUAUGAGGAACAGAGUAUGAAGAAGAUCGUCUAGACUAAACCCAGUGUCUUGUGAGAUUGCGGAAACCUCUUGUGAGGCCUUGCAUACAAACAUUGUUGUGAGUUCCAUGAGUUUGUAUUCCGAUUUCUUCUUUGGAA